CUGACAUGUGUGCUAGUCAACGGGUGAGUAAACCCGUAAGGUGCAAGGAAGCUGAUUGGUUGGAUCCCUCACGGGUGCACAGCCGACCGACCUUGAUCUGCUGAGAAGGGUUCUAGUGUGAGCAUGCCUGUCGGGACCCGAAAGAUGGUGACCUAUGCCUGAGCGAGGCAAAGCAAGAGGAAACUCUGGUGGAGGCCCGCAUCGAUAGUGACGUGCAAAUCGUUCGUCUGACUUGGGUAUAGGGGCGAAAGACUAAUCGAACCACCUAGUAGCUGG
rnacentral:ncRNA from 2 species